AUUGAACGCUGGCGGCAUGGCUAAUGCAUGCAAGUCGAACGAAAGCCCUUCGGGGCGAAAGUGGCGAAAGGGCGGGUAAUACGAUCGAACGUACCCCAAGGUGGAGGAUAGUGUCGGGAAACUGACGGUAAUACUCCAUGUGCUCUUCGGAGGAAAGCUUUGGCGCCUCGGGAGCGGCGAUCGUCCUAUCAGGUAGUUGGUGAGGUAAUGGCUCACCAAGCCGAAGACGGGUAGCGGGUGUGAGAGCAUGACCCGCCGCAUCGGGACUGAGACACUGCCCGGACUCCUACGGGAGGCUGCAGCGACGAAUCUUCCGCAAUGGGCGCAAGCCUGACGGAGCAAUGCCGCGUGUGGGACGAAGCGUCUUCGACGUGUAAACCACUGUCAGAAUCUAGGAACACUGACCAGAUUCAAAGGAAGGGCCGGCUAACCUCGUG
rnacentral:rRNA from 1 species